UGGGUAACCUACCCUGUACACACGGAUAACAUACCGAAAGGUAUGCUAAUACGGGAUAAUAUAUUUGAGAGGCAUCUCUUGAAUAUCAAAGGUGAGCCAGUACAGGAUGGACCCGCGUCUGAUUAGCUAGUUGGUAAGGUAACGGCUUACCAAGGCGACGAUCAGUAGCCGACCUGAGAGGGUGAUCGGCCACAUUGGAACUGAGACACGG
rnacentral:rRNA from 1 species